UGCUGCCUGUUGUGCCCUAAGACGGGGCACAGGGAACAAGUUACCCCAGCCCCCCCUGCUGCCUUUGAUAACCGCAGCAGUGCACUAUUGCACUGCUGAGCUGGAAAAAUGAAUGGUCCGAAAAGGGGGCGGAGCUACACGGCACUUUACUCAGUGCCAGGCCAGCCAGCACCAUCGAAGAGAGGAGGGGAGAGGAGCAGCAGCAGCACACACCAAAGCCUAAAUAUGUCUGAAAAAAGCAGUACUACUCGUCGGCCAGUAAAUCCUAACACAUCUGAUGAUGAUGACGCUGCGGAAGCAGGUCCAUCAAAAGAAGUAUGGAGCAGCAGAAGUGGCUCUUCUGUUAGACAUCACCACAAGAAACCUGUGGCCGAAAAGAAAGCAAGGUCGUCUGUCCCGCCACAAACACAGCAGGCUACCCCGCCACGAAGAUUAUCGUCCGUAUGUUCUGUCCCCCCACUCCAAAUUUUGGACACACCUCCAAGACGUCAUCCACACUCCCCUCAUCUUGAUUCUUCGAGUCCUGGGAACAGCAUCCCUCCGCAACAACACCAACACAGUGACACGGAGGAGACAAACAUCUUAGAAAUGCAGCCAUUAAUGCAAGGAAUGAGCCCCCCAGCACCUGUGAGUACACCACCACAGCAAAGCACACCACCACCACCACAACACAGCCCAACAACACCAGGAACACAAGGCCCUGAUCAGGUGUUUUGGAGUAUUUGGGCUAGACAGCAGGCCACUAAUGAAUAUUAGUGCGUAAGCAGACACAAAUGUUUGCAAGCCUACCAUCUCACCUCAGAAGAAUCUCAAGAAAUCUGAGUCAACAAAAUGAGCAAACAACCAGAAUAGGCAAUACCAUUGAACUCAUGCGUACAGACACUACACAGGUCAUGGGCAACUUAAAGCGCAUAAUGGAAGAACAGCACAGACUAAUGGAAGAACAGCACAGACUAAUGGAAGAACAGCACAGACAACAGCUAAGUUAUAUGAGCAUUUUUCAAAACAGUCAAAAGAUUAAUGAUAGUUUAUUCAGAAUAGUAGACAAUCAAAAUGCUGCUACACGUGAUCUCAAUGCCACCCUCACUAACCUGAAUGAAACACUCAGAUGCAUGCACCAACAGCAAACAACCAGCAGUUCUGGUACGACUACUCCAAAUAUCACGCCAGUCUCAUCACCACCAAGACGGUCCACCAGAGCACGCCAACAUGACAGUGCUAAAGGCAAAGGGCAGGACAAGCAGCCACCAAAAAAAACGUAACAAAAAGAAGUUAGACAUUUGUGAUAAGUAAAGUUAACAAGUGUUUUUGAUGCUUUACAAAAUAGCACACUUAGCUCCUUGCACCUUUUUUUUAACAUCAUUAAUUAUAAGUGCACCAAAUUAAUUGUAAAAAAUAAUACGCACAUUUAUUCCUUGUCAUUUUUUUUGGGUAUUGGAGGAGGAAAAUGUUGAUGGAGCCACACAUACAUGUUAGCAGGAAGUAAAGUGACCACUUGAUUUUUUUCUAAUCAUUACUCUUUCUAGAUUCCAAUCAUACUCUUUGCCUGCAGAUACAAUAAUUGCUAGCCAGGCAGAAUGUCUUUAGCAGGAAGUAAACUGACCAUUUGAUUUUUUUCUAAUCAUUACUCUUUCUAGAUUCCAAUCAUUCUCUUUGCCUGCAGACAAUCCAAAUUACAAUGUUAGUGAUACAUAUCUUAGCUAUCUUAUCUAUACAACAUUACAAGAUGAACACAAUUGAGUGGCGUAAAAAGCUUGUAAUAUGUUGCCUUUGUUUUGUUUGAAAAACAUUGUCCAAAUGAAUGUCAGUAUUGUUGGGACAGGUUUGUGUGUGCUAAAAAUUAUUAAGCAUGUUUUUACACAUGAUGCUGAAACAAACAAAUAUGUACUUUAAAAAAAAACUGUUUAUAAUAAUGUAUAUGUGUGGCAAACUGUGUAUUUACUUACACAUCAUCAAGUUUACAGCAUCAAACAUUAGGAAAUAAAUUAUUCCUGAUUACA